rnacentral:rRNA from 1 species
UACGGGGGGGGCAAGCGUUGUUCGGAAUUACUGGGCGUAAAGGGCUCGUAGGUGGCCAACUAAGUCAGACGUGAAAUCCCUCGGCUUAACCGGGGAACUGCGUCUGAUACUGGAUGGCUUGAGUUCGGGAGAGGGAUGCGGAAUUCCAGGUGUAGCGGUGAAAUGCGUAGAUAUCGUCUGGAACGCCAAUGGUGAAAACAGACAGCUGGGAGUGUGCUGACGCUGAGACACGAAAGCCAGGGGAGCGAACGGG